rnacentral:rRNA from 1 species
UACGAAGGGGGCUAGCGUUGCUCGGAAUCACUGGGCGUAAAGGGUGUGUAGGUGGGUUUUUAAGUCAGGGGUGAAAUCCUGGAGCUCAACUCCAGAACUGCCUUUGAUACUGAAGAUCUUGAGUCCGGGAGAGGUGAGUGGAACUGCGAGUGUAGAGGUGAAAUUCGUAGAUAUUCGCAAGAACACCAGUGGCGAAGGCGGCUCACUGGCCCGGUACUGACGCUGAGGCACGAAAGCGUGGGGAGCAAACAGG